rnacentral:lncRNA from 1 species
AUGAUGAGCAAAACCAGCCAAUCGCCAGCUGGAGGGGGCGGAGGCUGCGGUCGCCUCGCGUUGCUGUCGGCUGCUCGGAGACGCCUGCACAGCGCCUGGAGAGGAAGCUCGCGAGCUCGCAGGCGUGUGCGCACACACACGCGCACACACACACACACGCGCGCACACACACACACACGCGCGCACACACACACGCGCGCGCACACACACACACACGCGCCCUCGCUCGCUCGCUCGCGCGCGCACGCACCAGCCCUCGCACCCCCGGGGGCGAUCGCGGCGCGCCAGGAGGAAGUCGGGUCGCCCUCCCGGGAAGCCGAAGCGGCAGCUCCCUCUGCACGAGCGCGGAGACGGUCUGUCCUCAGCAAAGAGGAGAGGACGCCGCCUCUGGGGACAGAUUGGAGACGCGGUCUUGCUCGAGAGAUGCUUCGUUUUCGUGCAGAGCGGAGGAGUCAAGGAAACUCCAGUCCUCCUUAAACUUCACUGCGGAGAAACGGAAUUCUGAGAAAAAGCAGCCACAAAGGACCCUUUAUAAANNNNNNNNNNNNNNNNNNNNNNNNNNNNNNNNNNNNNNNNNNNGGGCUAGGAAGGUAAGAUGAAAGCAGAGAAGGAAGGGCAAGCUCUUGCUCCGAAGUCCCAGGGACGCGUCUUUAGCUUCCGAUUUUCACCGUCUCUCACCUGCCACUGUUUCCCCUACUCCGGUUGUGUCGUGUGGCAGGGGCCGCUCCAGUCCUGGUGAACCUGCGCCGCCCUCGGCCUCGCCGUCACCUGGACAGAGCUUGCUGCUCCUGCUCCGCGGGGCACCCAUGCCUGGGCUGGUGGGAAGGGGUGCCGAGGCCCCCCACUGCGAAAUCUUGUCUGGGAACCAAGGAUCUCCCCCAUCUGUAAGCGAACUUUCCAGUUGCUCCACUUUUUCUCCUCCUCCCUCCCCUUCCCAUAGUCCAACUAGUCAACUCUCUCUCUCUCUCUCUCUCUCUCUCUCUCUCUCUCUCUCGAUUGAGUUACUUGUUCCUUCAGGUUGUGCAGGUUGUGCAGUGGCUCCAGCUGCCAUCCACUCUUGGACCCUGGGGUUCAUCCCUCCUCCAGCCCAGAAACCCUGAGGCCCACCCCAGUCCUUGGGCAGAGCUGAGCAAGAAGGGGGGUUCUGAGCGACUAGUCCCCUGACUGCUUAAGAUAACAACUGUAACAGCUGGCACCUCUGCCUAAAAAGACUCCCGAGGUCCCUGCCAAUGUUUGCCACUCCUCGCCUAAGGUUUAAGAAGUUAAGAGCCUCUCGGUUGGUUCUCAAGCCUCGUCUUAGCGGCAGAGUGAACGAGGGGGUUGGGUCUACAAUGCUCAAAGGAGCAAGUAAUUAUGAGCCUUUAUUGACACUACAAGUGGCCCGCCGGGAGCCUUUGGAGUUUAUUGAUGUCUAGGCAAAUCCCGCUAGCAUCCCUGUCACACUGACUUCUCAACCAGCAGAAACUGCACGAAUAAAACAGCUGCUUAUUUAAGUUAAAAGGGAACU